CUCUGAACCUCUGUGUUUUAUAGCGGCUUUGUUUUUUUGACUCCUGUGACUCCAGCAGCCAGGCGUGGCGCCGACCGGCAUCUCUGGGGCCGUCCCUCAUCGGCAGAGGAAAACGUUCGGCAAAGACGAGUAGGAAAAUAACUUUUCGCCUGGUCAAUACCGUCGCUCCCAGCGAGGAGAAAGGAUUGCUGCUAUACACUGACCAAACUGCACCUGGAUGAAUUGCACUGUCACAGCAUUUCAGAGCAAGUUUCACUCAAAAGCAUAAUGAGGAGUCCAUGGCUCAAUGCUGAAGUAAUUGCUGGAACAAGAAGCAUGGCUGCAUUUUGGGAAGCACAUUGAGAACGUCCUUCUCAAUUGAAGUUUUUGCAACUGUCUUUCUUCAGAAUAGAAGAAACCUGAUCUACUUAGAUUGGAACCAUUUCAGCUCUCUGACAGCAAGCUCAGGAUGAAGAUAGGAGUACACGGAACUGCCAUUCAAAUAAACUGACCAACUUGUCCUUACUUGUGGGAACAAGCUCUCUGAAUUCAGUGCCAUUUGCAGAAGAUGGAGCUUUGGGUGCCGGGUAUUUGAGAGCAUGUGGAGGUGGUGACUUUGCAGGGUUUUGUUGAUGCUGUUUUUGUGACGAAGGAUGAGCGCAGGGGUAGAGGAACAAAAGCAUUUUGCUGUUGUAAGAUCUUUCUGGUGGAUUGCAAGCGUGCAACAUCUCAACUAUGAAAAGUAAAUGGAAAGGCUACUUCUUACAGCACCGAAAAGGAUGUAGGAGGAUUGAUGAUGCUGUUCUGCUCAGAGUGAUAAUAUGAGCUUGGAAGAGAUGUGGAAUACGUUAAGAUGUUAGGCGAGCCUUGCUGGUGCUUUUUAAUUUUCGCCUUGAUAGCUACAAAUAAUUCAUUUUGCUCCAGCUGGGAACGUGUCUACAGUGAAAAGGGAAAAAAGUUGCAUUAAAAACCUCUUGAGCGAGUUGCAAACAGCAGAAGCACUGCCUGAGAAGGUACACACUGUUAGCCAGCUGUAAGUCAGCAGCUGCUUGUCCCUUCCUCCUGUAAUGUUUCUGACUCUUCCUUGUGAUUCACUAGCUCAUAACAGAACUUACUCCAUCAGGCAGAUAAUUCAGUUCUCUUGACUAAAUCUGCUCUAGUGCUGUUGUGGGGACUCCCUUCUCUCCAUUGUUCUGCAGCAUGUCAUUCAUCUUGGGCAGCCACAGCAGCGGAGUCCUCAGUAGAACCUACAGAUGGAUUUCUUGGGGCUGUAUCUCUUAAUAACUUAUUUCUUAACUAGCAGAGUUUCCCGUGGCCUUCAUUAGAAAACAAUGAGAGGGAAACAGCAGCAAUUAGUGUGCUGUGGUCCCUGGAAUUCUUUGCUGCUCUGCUAUGAGCUGUUGUGAGAAUCCAGCCUGCACUGCAAAGGGCUACCUGUGCAUGAGUCUGUUCAGCACUUGCACAAAUGGCACCUUGAAACCAGAAAAGAUUCUAUUUUGUAGUUGAAUUCCCUUGUUUCUGGACUUGCUUAUAGGCUUUGCCAAGCAGUGAGAAGAUCAGGUGAAAUUUAACAGCUUUACCAGUCAUCCGAACCAUGGGUGGGAGGAAAAAAUGUUCCAGCCCAAACCUCUGGCUAGCCUAGAAAAUGUGAUUGAUGGCUAUGGACUGUGCUUGCAUAUCAGUUUUCAGCACCUUCUGGACACCUUAAUUUGGCUGGGUGUAGCUUAGGAGUGAUGGCAGACACACUUCUGUGUAGUUUUGGUUCCAGCCUAGUUUUUUUUCUGCUAUAAUUUAGCUUGCCUCAAUUAGUGCUUUCAGCUCUGGCUAGGAUUUGCAGAUCAGUAUUUGCAAAGGGAUUUUAUGUGGAAUCAGCCAGAAAAAGAAACCAAUAUGCGAUUACUUUGUGUGUAUAUGUGCCUACAAAGGUUUCAGUCCAUUCUUCUUGACCGGCAGCAAAAUGGAGACACAAAGUCAAUGUUUGCAAAGGGUUUGCAUGAUUACAUUUCAGAAUUAAUUCAAUAUGAUCCCAAAGAAAACCUCAGCUCUCAGAUUGUUUUAGGAUAAUCUGGUCCCCCAGUUUUGAUUUGGCAACUCUCUUGGAAUCAUAAAAACGAAACAACAUUAUUGAGGCCCCUGGAUUGUUGCAAACUAUAGCAUAAAUGUAAAAUGUCUGAAUAAACCAUUUGAAACUG
ensembl:lncRNA